UCACACCAUGGGAGUUGGUUCUACCUUAAGCUGGUGCGCUAACCGUAAGGAGGCAGCCAACCACGGUAGGGUCAGCGACUGGGGUGAAGUCGUAACAAGGUAGCCGUAGGGGAACCUGCGGCUGGAUCACCUCCUUU
rnacentral:rRNA from 1 species